rnacentral:rRNA from 1 species
GAUGAACGCUGGCGGCGUGCCUAAUACAUGCAAGUCGAGCGAACAGACGAGAAGCUUUCUCCUCUGACGUUAGCGGCGGACGGGUGAGUAACACGUGGAUAACCUACCUAUAAGACUGGGAUAACUUCGGGAAACCGGAUCUAAUACCGGAUAAUAUAUUGAACCGCAUGGUUCAAUAGUGAAUACGGUUUUGCUGUCACUUAUAGAUGGAUCCGCGCCGCAUUAGCUAGUUGGUAAGGUAACGGCUUACCAAGGCAACGAUGCGUAGCCGACCUGAGAGGGUGAUCGGCCACACUGGAACUGAGACACGGUCCAGACUCCUACGGGAGGCAGCAGUAGGGAAUCUUCCGCAAUGGGCGAAAGCCUGACGGAGCAACGCCGCGUGAGUGAUGAAGGUCUUCGGAUCGUAAAACUCUGUUAUUAGGGAAGAACAACUGUGUAAGUAACUAUGCACGUCUUGACGGUACCUAAUCAGAAAGCCACGGCUAACUACGUG